rnacentral:sRNA from 1 species
CAACUUCGGAGCAGCGCACUUCUCCUCCCAGCGCGCGCCGAUGGGGAUCGGUAACUCUCCUCCUCCCGGUUGCCGAUCAGAACAAGCAGCGCCCGCCGGACCUCCUCCCCCGGCGGGCGUUGUUU